CGAAGCAGUCUUCGGUCUCCCCCACGCCUGAUUGGAGAUCUCCUCGGUGGCAUCCUUCGUUGAAACGCAGCUCCUCGCAAAGGAUUCUCGGCCGGGAGGGGAGAGGCGGGCACCGGAGACGCUGAGGGUUCCGGCAUCAAGGUAUGUGAGUGAUCCCUGGUAGCAGCCUCGGUCAAAAAUUUCCAGCUACUGUGCUUCAUCCGGAGAUAAGAAGGCUCUGUAGGAGCUCUAUUGGUCGUUCUUGGCAGCAGGUAUCACUAGAGGAUCUGUGUCGGCAAUUUUACCUUCGGGCAGGGAAUCAUCAGAGGACUUUGAUCAAGGCGGUUGUCGUGACGAGAUUGACGUCGGAUUCAACCUACAUUUACAGGCGGGUACUUCUUGCUUUACCUCUUUAGUAUUUUGAUCCUAGUGCAUGAGCUUUAUGUUCAGAUAGUUGCUGUAUCUAUCUUGACUCCACUCUUAUUCUUCCUGCGUUUGAUACUUCCACUCGA